rnacentral:rRNA from 1 species
UGCCGCGUGAGUGAUGAAGGCCUUAGGGUUGUAAAGCUCUUUCGCACGCGACGAUAAUGACGGUAGCGUGAGAAGAAGCCCCGGCUAACUUCGUGCCAGCAGCCGCGGUAAUACGAAGGGGGCUAGCGUUGUUCGGAAUUACUGGGCGUAAAGGGCGCGUAGGCGGCUUUUCAAGUCAGGCGUGAAAUCCCCGGGCUUAACCUGGGAACUGCGUUUGAGACUGGAAGGCUUGAGUUCGGGAGAGGUGAGUGGAAUUCCCAGUGUAGAGGUGAAAUUCGUAGAUAUUGGGAAGAACACCAGCGGCGAAGGCGGCUCACUGGACCGAUACUGACGCUGAGGCGCGAAAGCGUGGGGAGCAAACAGGAUUAGAUACCC